AUCCCAUCCAAGCCAGAUCUAAAGCUCUCUUUGUGCUCCUUAUCAGGUGACACGUUGCAUAGAGGGCUCUCUCUAACAAUGUAUGAUCCACACCUACAGAAGUAAAAGAGGAGGGAACAUACCCAAGAAGAUAAUCUGGAUAUCUCCAUCUCUCAUAAGUUCUUUCACUCUCUUCUCUCCUUUGUAAAAAUAGAUCUCUCAAUGCUGUGAAGAUCAAGAAACUGGGAAAGCAAUAUGACAAGCUGAUUUCCUACAUCCCUGGAAUGGAGCUAAAAUCGCUAGACAUUCUGCUCUUCAUGCACGAUGGAGAAUUCGAGAAAGUCGGGGAAGAACAAUCACAGGCUCCAGUGCUGCAAAUAUCAAGAAUCCAAUGUGACAUUCGAGGUGAGCAUCUUGUUCUUCACUUUGCAUCAUCUUCUAGUCUGAUUUUCUCUCUGUGAAGUCAAACCACACAGCAUCAAAGAGCUACUUUAUGCGUCCUCCAAACUGAAUCAGCAAACCAAGUCUAUGCAACUGGUAUGAGUUUGUCUGGGCCUUCAGUUUUUUACUCUUUCCCAUCCUAUGGCAGUUGUCAAGUUAGUGGAGCCGCCAAGAGAGUGAAGCAAAAGCAACGCACUUCCCAAAGUAGCCCAGC
rnacentral:lncRNA from 1 species